AAACCUCAACCUCCUUGGUUUCUUCUUGGAGACCAAAGCAGGCUUGGACUUUGGAGGCCUUUGCUGGCAUCACUUGCCAGCUCCUCUUAAACAAAUUAGCAGGGUCCUCUUUGCUGAUCCUCGACGUGUGAUAAGAUGUUUCCAUGUCUUGGCUUCUGGCUCUGUCACCUUUUGGUUGGGACCUGCUUCUAACCGUCUUUGUGAAGACAAAGUUCGAGCAUGUCUCCCUUCUCGGGAAGCUCCCUCGACCCCACGAAC
rnacentral:misc_RNA from 1 species